rnacentral:tRNA from 1 species
GGUGGCUCAGUGGUAGAGCGCUUGCCUUGUGUAUAAGAGGCCCUGGGUUCAAUUCCUCAGCACCA